rnacentral:rRNA from 1 species
GACGAACGCUGGCGGCGUGCCUAAUACAUGCAAGUAGAACGCUGAAGAGAGGAGCUUGCUCUUCUUGGAAGAGUUGCGAACGGGUGAGUAACGCGUAGGUAACCUGCCUUGUAGCGGGGGAUAACUAUUGGAAACGAUAGCUAAUACCGCAUAACAAUGGGUGACCCAUGUCAUUUAUUUGAAAGGGGCAAAUGCUCCACUACAAGAUGGACCUGCGUUGUAUUAGCUAGUAGGUGAGGUAACGGCUCACCUAGGCGACGAUACAUAGCCGACCUGAGAGGGUGAUCGGCCACACUGGGACUGAGACACGGCCCAGACUCCUACGGGAGGCAGCAGUAGGGAAUCUUCGGCAAUGGGGGCAACCCUGACCGAGCAACGCCGCGUGAGUGAAGAAGGUUUUCGGAUCGUAAAGCUCUGUUGUAAGUCAAGAACGAGUGUGAGAGUGGAAAGUUCACACUGUGACGGUAGCUUACCAGAAAGGGACGGCUAACUACGUGCCAGCAGCCGCGGUAAUACGUAGGUUCCGAGCGUUGUCCGGAUUUAUUGGGCGUAAAGCGAGCGCGGGCGGUUUGAUAAGUCUGAAGUUAAAGGCUGUGGCUCAACCAUAGUUCGCUUUGGAAACUGUCAAACUUGAGUGCAGAAGGGGAGAGUGGAAUUCCAUGUGUAGCGGUGAAAUGCGUAGAUAUAUGGAGGAACACCGGUGGCGAAAGCGGCUCUCUGGUCUGUAACUGACGCUGAGGCUCGAAAGCGUGGGGAGCGAACAGG